rnacentral:tRNA from 1 species
CAGUGGCGGAGUGGUCUAACGCAUCUCCGUAUCAAGGAGAUUGCGCGGGUACGAAUACCGUCUG